CGCGAAAACUUUACAAUGCUGGCAACAGCGAUAAGGGAACCUCGAGUGCCAGGCUACAAAUCUGGCUGUCGAGAUGCCUAAAAAGCAUUUCAUAGCAAGGGCCGGGCAAGACCGGUGCCAACCGCCGCGGUAACACCGGCGGCUCGAGUGGUAACCGUUAUUAUUGGGUCUAAAGGGUCUGUAGCCGGCCGGAUAAGUCUCUUGAGAAAUCUGGCAGCUUAACUGUCAGGCUUUCAGGAGAUACUGUCUGGCUCGAGGCCGGGAGAGGUGAGAGGUACAUCAGGGGUAGGGGUGAAAUCUUGUAAUCCUGUAAGGACCACCAGUGGCGAAGGCGUCUCACCAGAACGGACCUGACGGCAAGGGACGAAAGCUAGGGGCACGAACCG
rnacentral:rRNA from 1 species